AUGUGCAUCCUUAUUCUUUGUAAUCCUCCCUCCUCAGCCCUUUGGCAGGCUCAGGCCGCUGCAGCCACCCCAAGGUAUCAGGUGGGCUCUCUACUGAGUUCACACCUGUGCCUUCACCUGUCCCAACCCGUUUCUUUCAAGGACUGUCAGGGGCACCAGGAGACAACCUACGCACCAUUAACAGAUAAACUUCAUAAGCAGCCAAGUCUUCAAAGUCAAAGUCUCUCCAUCCAAGACGAGGUGGAGCAGAAUAUACCAAUGGAAAAAUCUGUGAGAAGUAUCAUUGUGAAUUAUGUGCUGUCAGUAAUCACCACGGUGGUUAAGAGAAUGUGCUGCAGUCACAAGACCAAGAUCAAGCACAAGCUCUACUUCUUACAAGCAACGUGCCCUUUGGGGAGCAUUUGAGGACCGUGAUAUGUAACCAUUUUCCUGAGGAUACGAUCUCUACUGCCAGCUUCCAUGAGCCACUAAGGGACAUGAGCUAUUACUUCAUAGAACAGACUCUUCUCAAUGCUAUUCUCUAGUCUUUUUUAUUGUUGUUGUUUUUCUUUGUUUUGCUUUCUCUCAAUCAUUCUGUAAUUUCAGUAAACUUCUGGAAAUAAUGAAACAAGACUCUAAGACAUGUUUUCACUAUAAGAUAAUUGUGGUUAUAUAAGUCUAGCUACCUAGAACGUAAAUUGCAUGCUUUCCAUCCAAUUUCUAUUCAAUU
rnacentral:lncRNA from 1 species